rnacentral:rRNA from 1 species
GAAAACCAGGCUAAUACCGCAUGAGCCCUUCGGGGGAAAGCAGGGGAUCUUCGGACCUUGCGCUAUUGGAUGAGCCUAUGUCUGAUUAGCUUGUUGGUGGGGUAACGGCCUACCAAGGCGACGAUCAGUAGCUGGUCUGAGAGGACGAUCAGCCACACUGGGACUGAGACACGGCCCAGACUCCUACGGGAGGCAGCAGUGGGGAAUAUUGGACAAUGGGGGCAACCCUGAUCCAGCAAUGCCGCGUGUGUGAAGAAGGCCUGCGGGUUGUAAAGCACUUUCAGUGGGGAGGAAAAGCUCAGGGUUAAUAACCCUUGAGUCUUGACGUUAUCCACAGAAGAAACACCGGCUAACUCUGUGCCAGCAGCCGCGGUAAUACAGAGGGUGCAAGCGUUAAUCGGAAUUACUGGGCGUAAGCGCGCGUAGGCGGUUUUGUUAAGUCGGAUGUGAAAGCCCCGGGCUCAACCCUGGGAACUGCAUUCGAUACUGGCCAGGCUAAAGUAUGGUAGAGGGGAAGUGGCAAUUCC